GACGAACGCUGGCGGCGUGCUUAACACAUGCAAGUCGAACGGAAAGGCCCUGCUUUUGUGGGGUGCUCGAUUGGCGAACGGGUGAGUAACACGUGAGUAACCUGCCCUUGACUUUGUGAUAACUUCAGGAAACUGGGGCUAAUACCGGAUAGGAGCUCCUGCUGCAUGGUGGGGGUUGGAAAGUUUCGGCGGUUGGGGAUGGACUCGCGGCUUAUCAGCUGGUUUGUUGGGUAGUUGCUUACCAAGGCUUUGACGGGUAGCCGGCCUGAGAGGGUGACCGGCCACAUUGCGACUGAGAUACGGCCCAGACUCCUACGGGAGGCAGCAGUGGAGAAUAUUGCACAAUGGGCCGAAGCCUGAUGCAGAAACGCCGCGUGCGGGAUGACGGCCUUCGGGUUGUAAACCGCUUUCGACUGUGCCGAAGCGUGAGUGACGGUAAUGGGUAAAGAAGCACCGGCUAACUACGUG
rnacentral:rRNA from 1 species